rnacentral:rRNA from 1 species
AACGAACGCUGGCGGCAGGCUUAACACAUGCAAGUCGAGCGCCCCGCAAGGGGAGCGGCAGACGGGUGAGUAACGCGUGGGAAUCUACCCAUCUCUACGGAAUAACGCAUGGAAACGUGUGCUAAUACCGUAUACGUCCUUCGGGAGAAAGAUUUAUCGGAGAUGGAUGAGCCCGCGUUGGAUUAGCUAGUUGGUGGGGUAAAGGCCUACCAAGGCGACGAUCCAUAGCUGGUCUGAGAGGAUGAUCAGCCACACUGGGACGGAGACACGGCCCAGACUCCUACGGGAGGCAGCAGUGGGGAAUAUUGGACAAUGGGCGCAAGCCUGCUCCAGCCAUGCCGCGUGAGUGAUGAAGGCCCUAGGGUUGUAAAGCUCUUUCACCGGUGAAGAUAAUGACGGUAACCGGAGAAGAAGCCCCGGCUAACUUCGUGCCAGCCGCCGCGGUAACAC